CAGUCGCCGCGGGAAUACGGAGGGUGCAAGCGUUAAUCGGAAUUACUGGGCGUAAAGCGCACGCAGGCGGUCUGUCAAGUCAGAUGUGAAAUCCCCGGGCUUAACCUGGGAACUGCAUUUGAAACUGGCAGGCUAGAGUCUUGUAGAGGGGGGUAGAAUUCCAGGUGUAGCGGUGAAAUGCGUAGAGAUCUGGAGGAAUACCGGUGGCGAAGGCGGCCCCCUGGACAAAGACUGACGCUCAGGUGCGAAAGCGUGGGGAGCAAACAGGAUUAGAGACCCGUGUAGUCCCUGUCUCUUAUAA
rnacentral:rRNA from 1 species